GACGGACCCGCACAAGCGGUGGAUCAUGUUGUUUAAUUCGAUGAUACGCGAAGAACCUUACCAGGUCUUGACAUCCCCCGCGAUGCUUUAGAGAUAAAGCGGAGGUAUUCGGGGAGACAGGUGGUGCAUGGUUGUCGUCAGCUCGUGUCGUGAGAUGUUGGGUUAAGUCCCGCAACGAGCGCAACCCCUAUUGCUAGUUACCAUCAUUAAGUUGGGGACUCUAGCGAGACUGCCAGUGAUAAACUGGAGGAAGGUGGGGAUGACGUCAAAUCAUCAUGCCCCUUAUGACCUGGGCUACAAACGUGAUACAAUGGCUGGAACAAAGGGAUGCGAAGCAGUGAUGUGGAGCGAAACCCAUAAAAACAGUCUCAGUUCGGAUUGAAGUCUGCAACUCGACUUCAUGAAGUCGGAAUCGCUAGUAAUCGCGGAUCAGAACGCCGCGGUGAAUACGUUCUCGGGGUUU
rnacentral:rRNA from 1 species